GGGGCGGCCUACACAUGCAAGUCGAGCGGUAGCACAGAGAGCUUGCUCUCGGGUGACGAGCGGCGGACGGGUGAGUAAUGUCUGGGAAACUGCCUGAUGGAGGGGGAUAACUACUGGAAACGGUAGCUAAUACCGCAUAACGUCGCAAGACCAAAGUGGGGGACCUUCGGGCCUCAUGCCAUCAGAUGUGCCCAGAUGGGAUUAGCUAGUAGGUGGGGUAACGGCUCACCUAGGCGACGAUCCCUAGCUGGUCUGAGAGGAUGACCAGCCACACUGGAACUGAGACACGGUCCAAACUCCUACGGGAGGCAGCAGUGGGGAAUAUUGCACAAUGGGCGCAAGCCUGAUGCAGCCAUGCCGCGUGUGUGAAAAAGGCCUUCGGGUUGUAAAGCACUUUCAGCGGGGAGGAAGGCGAUAAGGUUAAUAACCUUGUCGAUUGACGUUACCCGCAAAAAAAGCACCGGCUAACUCCGUGCCAGCAGCCGCGGUAAUACGGAGGGUGCAAGCGUUAAUCGGAAUUACUGGGCGUAAAGCGCACGCAGGCGGUCUGUCAAGUCGGAUGUGAAAUCCCCGGGCUCAACCUGGGAACUGCAUUCGAAACUGGCAGGCUAAAGUCUUGUAGAGGGGGGUAGAAUUCCAGGUGUAGCGGUGAAAUGCGUAAAAAGAUCUGGGAGGAAUACCGGUGGCGAAGGCGGCCCCCCUGGAACAAAAGACUGACGCUCAGGUGCGAAAGCGUGGGGGAGCAAACAGGGAUUAACAUACCCCUGGUAGUCCCACGCCCGUAAAACAAUGUCAAAUUUGGGAGGUUGUGCCCCUUGAGGGCGUGGGCUUCCGAAGCUAAACGGCGUUUAAAUCCAACCCCCCCUGGGGGAAGUACCGGCCCGCAAGGGUUAAAACCUCAAAAUGAAUUUGAACGGGGGGCCCCGCCACAACCCGGUGGGAGGCAUGUUGUUU
rnacentral:rRNA from 1 species